GACGAACGCUGGCGGCGUGCUUAACACAUGCAAGUCGAACGGAAAGGCCCUGCUUUUGUGGGUUGCUCGAGUGGCGAACGGGUGAGUAACACGUGAGUAACCUGCCCUUGACUUUGGGAUAACUUCAGGAAACUGGGGCUAAUACCGGAUAGGAGCUCCUGCUGCAUGGUGGGGGUUGGAAAGUUUCGGCGGUUGGGGAUGGACUCGCGGCUUAUCAGCUUGUUGGUGGGGUAGUGGCUUACCAAGGCUUUGACGGGUAGCCGGCCUGAGAGGGUGACCGGCCACAUUGGGACUGAGAUACGGCACAGACUCCUACGGGAGGCAGCAGUGGGGAAUAUUGCACAAUGGGCGGAAGCCUGAUGCAGCAACGCCGCGUGCGGGAUGACGGCCUUAGGGUUGUAAACCGCUUUCGCCUGUGACGAAGCGUGAGUGACGGUAAUGGGUAAAGAAGCACCGGCUAACUACGUG
rnacentral:rRNA from 1 species